GGUCAGUGAUGUGAUGUAAAAGGUCUGAAUCUCAGCUCCUCCCCCUUAGUAACCAGCCGCUGCUCUCUGCCCCCAUCAUGCUCUAGUGGUGCAAAGGUGGUCACAGCAGCUGCUGACAGAGACAAGACGUCAUGUCAUAGCGAGUCUAUACAAAGAUCCAAUAGGCUCAGCGUGACUGACAUCCAACAGAAACAAUCAGCACGGAGUGUCAGGCUGAUGGGGUGGGGUUCGAGAGAUGAUCUCACUCUGCUACUGAGACC
ensembl:scaRNA